rnacentral:tRNA from 1 species
GCCUUCGUGGUGCAGUGGACAGCACACUCGAUGCGUAUUCGAGAGGUCCGUGGUUCGAGUCCCGGCAAGGGCG